GGUGGAUGGGUGAAUGGGUGGAUGGAGGGAAGGAUGGAGGGAUGGAUGGAGGCCGUCUGGGGACGGGGCUCUUGUUAACAGUGUCAUUUCAAAAAGAGAAUAUGACUCUCUUUUUUGCUUUUUUGUUUGUUUGUUUGUUUGUUUUGAGGGGAGGUAAGCUCACAACAGAAAUAGCAGUACAAAGAAAUCUGCAUCAGAUCGAUGUCUUAACCGCUGUGUCGUGAUUUCCAAGGAACGGUUGGAUUUUGUGUUGAGGGACAUGGUUUAGUGAGUACUAUUGAUGAUAGGUGGAUGGUUGGACUGGAUGAUCCUAAAGGUCUUUUCCAACCUUGAUGAUUCUGUGAUUCUCUGGGCCAGCACUCCACACACAGACGGCUCUCGGAGCUCCCCAUUCUCACACGUGAGGUGGCUCUCAGAGCACGAGGGGAGCCAUGAGGAAAGCUGCAGCCCAGGAGCCGUUAAUGGGCACUGUUUGCAGAGGGCAGGUGGCCAUGACCCAUGGGGGGUCCUGGUUAUCUUUAUUUAAAACUCCUUUAAGCAGUGUGUGAUAAAUUCUGGGCUGAGGUCUGUUGAGCUGACAUCUUAUCUGUAUUCUUGUUUGUCCCUCGAACAGUAAACAUCCUCUACUCAAGUUAAAAUAACAAGCUCUGUAAUGCUGACUUCGUUCUUUGUUAUUUGCUAACUGAAACCACCGUUAGCAACCCGUGAUGUCUCUGCUGCUUAACUUUUCGUUGUUUUUAUUUGAUAGUGCCAACUUUGUAAGCAGUAUUUUCAGCAGUGUGUUAGCAGGACAUGCUUUGAGCCAUCUUUCAAGCUUAAAUCUCUUUGAGACAGACACACAACAAAAAUGUAGUUGUUAUCAGGAUUCCUUUUUCAUACCAAUGGGGGUACCCAGUAAGAUCAGUGUAGCACCAGCAAUUGGAAUUCAUAGCAGCUGUGAAGUCAGAUAAAGGAACAAGCAGUCCUGUGCAGGAGGAAUGAUUGUUACACCUCAGCAGGAGUUGCACUUGGAUUAGAUAACAUUCUAGUCUUUCAUACCAAGUGGAGACAAGGGAGAGACACUGCUUUAUCAGGCUUCCAUUUCAGGAUCGGUGCAGCCCUUCUGUGGGUUCCUGACUGUCUGAAAUAAAAAUGCAGAAUGAAAAGAAGAUGGAGUCCUACUGUGCUUCCACUGCAGAGCUCUCAGUCUGGUGUCCUCGCUCAGGGACGUGGCUCGCUCCCUCUCCAGCACAUCUCUUGACACAGAAUCAUUUGUUCAACUUCCAGAGGACAGCAGAAUGUGCUUAGUGUGGCGCCAGGGCCGAUCCGAUCCCAGUAGGACAAAACUCCUUGAUUUAAAUGCUAGGCAUGCUUCUCACCAGAACUUCUAUUCUGUAGCAACAGAGCUUAAACAAAUCAACGGAGGAGCGUUUUCAGAGUAGUGGUGUCUUAUAAUUCCUUUGGCUUAUCACAUCAGUUCUGUAUAAACUGAAGAGAAUGUAUAAAUUUGGCCUCUCAAGCAUCUUAGUGUUUAACUUCAAUUCGAUUAAACACUUAUGUAUGUGUACAAAGUGAAAAAUGAGGUUACAAGAGGUUAGUGCUUUAAUGCUUUUAAUAACUCUUAAGCACAUGACUGUAUUUUGUCAAACAGAACAUGGAUUUGUUAUAGCAGGAAAAAUACAUGCUAGAUAGAUAUAAAUUGAGGCUCUCCAAAACAGUAAAGCUGCUAUAGAACCAAACCCACUUCUGGGCCAUCUUGGUAAAAUCACCAAUAGCAUUUCUGUGGUGGAAUAACACAGAAGUGUUUCUGAGUAUCGUUCAUUAGGAGGCUCAAGCAUGCAGUUGGAAAAUCCAAAAGAACUCUAGGCAGACCAGAGAAGCACAGGAAGGGCAAUUAAAGGGCUUGAUAUCAGACACAGCACUGAAUUCUCAGCGCUGAAGCUGGGAUGGGUGCAGGGUUUGGUCCUGAAGAUUUUAAAACAAUGUGCACCAGGAAAGGCCCUUAAUGUACCCAGAAACUGGCAGCAAAGUAAGUAAUGUAUAAUAACGUAUUAAUUCAAACUGAAAGGCACUGCCUGAUGAAUUUCCCUGACUAGUCUCACGCUCCUUCCUCUGCUGAAACAGACCGUUUUGCUCUAUGAAGACUGCUACUCUUUAAUUUAUGCUAAUAAAUAACACUGCUUCAAAAAGCUCCAUGUAGGGAAGGUAAGAGCUUUGCAAACCAGUGCUCAAAGGAAAUGUCACACACACUUUGUGAAGCUACGGAAAUUAGUACAUUUAAAGCAUGUGAACUUAUCAUACAAAGAGCACAUACAUAUAUUAAUAUUAUUAGAAGUGUUACACUGGAUCUUAAGCAAUAGAGUCCAACCAACGAGGCCGUAUGCAGGACAAGACAGCACUGACCCACUGUACUCACAUUCUGUAGUUAAAAGUGACCUGAUAAAGGUGACCCCUGUUGCAGGCAAAAGAGGCGGAUGCUGACAAUAGAAACGCAUGCGUCCCUCAAACAUCUUGAUUAAUUACGCUUUAGAACAACAGCUACAUAAACUGGUCUUCACUCAGGGCUGAGGUUCAUCCAUGCCAUGCAGAAAGCAGUGCCAGAACCACUGCUUCUUUUGAAGAUUAACAAAUAAUCUAUAAGAGAAGGUAAUCAGCAAACUUGCCAUGUCUUUCCUUUUAUUUUUCCCAUGAGUUCCUCAACAGAUUCUAAAUUUAAGUAGCUCAGUGUUUUUUGUAUGUCUGCCAGCCCACCUCUAAAAUAUUUCUCUAGAACAAAAAUAGGUAAAGAUUAACAUAGAACAUUUUAGCAAAUCUGAUUUUUUGGUUGAUACUUUUUUUAAUACUAUUCAGAACAGUUUGCUAGCAAGAACAACCUAAUCCUGUAAUGAAAUAAUCUAUAUUUCAACGUAACCUUUAACUCACAUAUAACAAAGUACACUGUAAUAAGCAAUUAAUUUUCCAAAGUAUCCCAUUUGUUUAGUAUUUGACUCUCGCUUUCAUCAUUUAAUGAUUUACAGUAAUGAACUGGAACAUUGGUAUUUUGCACUGAAAUGACCAAAAUAGUUGUGGAGGCAUCAUUGCCCUCAUGUGACAGACCUCAGAUGUUUUUGUGAGAAGUUAGCCAAAAGCAAUAGACAAUGCCAUUGCUUCUGUUUAAUUUGUGCUGCAAAACAACAACAAAGUGGCCGUAACGACUUGUAGGCAGAUCCCAGUAGCUUUUGGACUGUUUCUUUGCUGAGAUUUUGCCCUUUGUUUAAGUUUUGUUUGACAAGGGCUUAAUAAAUGAGUAGAAGAGGUGGUUUAUGUUUCAUUAAUGAGGUUGAGAGUGGUUAAUUACUGAAGUUACGUAAACAAUCCAAUACCAGAUCAAGCCGAAUGGGUCAGUUAUGCAGAGAAGACCCAGCUGGAGUAGAUAGGAUUUCCUUUAACUAUUCGAAUACCAAGCAGGUUAUGGAGAUCUAGAAUCACGAGUUCUGAUGAAUGCAGAUUUCUCCGGACCUUGAAAAUGGGUUCUCUCAACAGGCACCUAUGUAGGGAAGAUUUCUCUGAAUCUGCAGUUUCAGCACUCCUCAAAUUCUUGGACCUACCUGCAGAAAGGAAGACUUCCCACACAGAUGAGACUUUACAGAAGCUCGCAGUUCACACUGGUGAUGGAAUGAGGCUGCAGAGUGGUGCAGCGUAAGGCGUUCAGAUGUUCUGUGCCCCUUAUACUCCACUUCAUUGGCACUUAUGGAUUUCCACUCAUGACAGAAGCUUUUUCAGCUAAUAUUUGCAGUCCAUACCUACGAGUAACAUUUUGUUUCCUCUCCUCUAGCAAAGCAUGUUCAAACUAUCUGAUUUCCUUUGCCUAUUUAAACAGCAUUAGGAACAUCACUAAUCAGAGAGCGUAUCACUGUCUUAAAAAUCUGAAC